rnacentral:rRNA from 1 species
GGCUAGAGUUUGAUCAUGGCUCAGGACGAACGCUGGCGGCGCGCCUAACACAUGCAAGUCGAACGGAAUGCGGAGGGGAUUUAUCUUUUCUGUGUUUAGUGGCGAACGGGUGAGUAACGCGUGAGGAACCUGCCUCAAAGAGGGGGACAACAGUUGGAAACGACUGCUAAUACCGCAUAAGCCCACGGGGCCGCAUGGCUCUGAGGGAAAAGGAGCAAUCCGCUUUGAGAUGGCCUCGCGUCCGAUUAGCUGGUUGGUGAGGUAAUGGCCCACCAAGGCGACGAUCGGUAGCCGGACUGAGAGGUUGAACGGCCACAUUGGGACUGAGACACGGCCCAGACUCCUACGGGAGGCAGCAGUGGGGAAUAUUGCACAAUGGGGGAAACCCUGAUGCAGCGACGCCGCGUGGAGGAAGAAGGUCUUCGGAUUGUAAACUCCUGUUGUUGGGGAAAAGAAGGAUGGUACCCAACGAGGAAGUGACGGCUAACUACGUGCCAGCAGCCGCGGUAAAACGUAGGUCACGAGCGUUGUCCGGAAUUACUGGGUGUAAAGGGAGCGCAGGCGGGUAUGCAAGUUGGGAGUGAAAUGCAUGGGCUCAACCCAUGAACUGCUCUCAAAACUGUGUAUCUUGAGUAGUGCAGAGGUAGGCGGAAUUCCCGGUGUAGCGGUGGAAUGCGUAGAUAUCGGGAGGAACACCAGUGGCGAAGGCGGCCUACUGGGCACCAACUGACGCUGAGGCUCGAAAGUGUGGGUAGCAAACAGGAUUAGAUACCCUGGUAGUCCACACCGUANACGAUGAUUACUAGGUGUUGGAGGAUAGACCCCUUCAGUGCCGCAGUUAACACAAUAAGUAAUCCACCUGGGGAGUACGACCGCA